GAUGAACGCUGGCGGCGUGCUUAACACAUGCAAGUCGAACGGGAUCCCAGGAGCUUGCUCCUGGGUGAGAGUGGCGAACGGGUGAGUAAUGCGUGACCGACCUGCCCCAUACACCGGGAUAGCUCCUGGAAACGGGUGGUAAUGCCGGAUGCUCCAGUUGGAUGCAUGUCCUUCUGGGAAAGAUUCAUCGGUAUGGGAUGGGGUCGCGUCCUAUCAGCUUGAUGGCGGGGUAACGGCCCACCAUGGCUUCGACGGGUAGCCGGCCUGAGAGGGCGACCGGCCACAUUGGGACUGAGAUACGGCCCAGACUCCUACGGGAGGCAGCAGUGGGGAAUAUUGCACAAUGGGCGCAAGCCUGAUGCAGCGACGCCGCGUGCGGGAUGACGGCCUUCGGGUUGUAAACCGCUUUUGACUGGGAGCAAGCCCUUCGGGGUGAGUGUACCUUUCGAAUAAGCAC
rnacentral:rRNA from 1 species